UUUCGUUACUCAGAAUCAGAGAAUUCUAAAGCCCUAAAAUUCCCUUCCUUCUCCAUUCUAUCGGUUAGGAUUUUCCUCUGGCAACUCAUUCCCACUCUCUAUGUCUCAUCAAUUGGCGGUUACGAAAUUGAACAGAUGCUUAGUAUUAUUAUCCUAAUCAUCCCGAAACCUUCUGUUCCAUCUUCUCCUCAAAUAUCAGAUUUUAGGCAUCAACAAGGAUGAGGAAGUGAACAAAUUGGGCAAGCUUUUUAUAAGAGGAAAUUUUCUGGUUUCAGAGGGCAAAGCUGGUGACAAUUGAUCUAGGGCUAUACAUUUCGAAGAAGCAGGAUAUGUUCUGGAUUACUCAGCGGAGGAGUGUGCCCACUGCCUUUAAACUCUUUACAGUUGUCAGGAACAAAACUGCUCUUCGGCCCGGGCUUGGUGCGAUUAGGCUCGAGAGGCUUAUGACUUCGCUGUUGUCAGAGGAAAACUUCAGGCCAAGACAAUGCAAGUAGUAACCCUUGUAUUUGGGUGGAACGAUGUUUUUGGGCUCUCUUUUGAGAGGGAGUAGUGAAGUCUUUUGUUGCAGAGAAGAAGCACGCAGUAGCAGGAAGUUGGCUUGUGCAGCGCCUAUUGAUGGUAUCUGAUGGUUGAAAGGAAAGAACAAAUGGAAGAAAGCUUUGUUGAUUUUGCUGUAGAAAAUACUGGUUGUAUUGAACCACAGUGAAUUGGGAUGAAAUUUCUUUGUAACUAAAGAGUAAUUUAUAAGA